rnacentral:ncRNA from 1 species
UAUGUUUUUGGAAAUUUGAUGUAUAUUUAUUCUACAUAUAAAUUUUAGUAUUAAAUUUUAAUUAUUUUAAUAAUAAUUAAUUAUAAAAGUAGUAAUUAAUAUUAAAAAUUUAAGAAAUUAAGAUUUAGUAAUAUAUAAAUUAAUAACUAAUUUUGUGCCAGCAGUUGCGGUUAAACAAAAUAUUAAAUUAAAUUAUUUCAGUAUAUAAUUAAUAAAUUAUUAUUUAAAUUAAAUAUUAAAUUUUUAAGUGAAAUUUUAAUUUAAUUAAAUUUUAUUUUUUUAUUAUGAUUUAAUAAAUUUUAUAAUAAACUAGGAUUAGAUACCCUAUUAUUAAAAAAUUAAAAUAAAAUACUAAAAUAGUAUAUAUUAUUUAUUGAAACUUAAAUAAUAUGGCGGUAUUUUAGUUCAUUUAGAGGAAUCUGUUUAAUAAUUGAUAAUCCACGAAUAAAUUUACUUAAUUUAUAAUUUUGUAUAUCAUUGUUAAAAAAAUAUUUUUAUAUAAAAAUAAUAUUUAAAAAUUUAUAAUAGAAAUUAAUUCAGAUCAAGAUGCAGAUUAUAAUUAAGAAUAUAAUGGAUUACAAUAAAUAUAUUUAUAUGAAUAAAAUAUUGAAAAAUAUUUUUGAAGGUGGAUUUAAAUGUAAUUUUAAUUAGUUUAUUAAAAUGGUUUUAAAUUAAAAUAUGUACAUAUUGCCCGUCACUUUCAUUUAAAAAUUGGAAUAAGUCGUAACAAAGUAGAGGUACUGGAAAGUGUUUCUAGAAAGAU